rnacentral:rRNA from 1 species
CGCGGCCUAUCAGCUUGUUGGUGAGGUAACGGCUCACCAAGGCAUCGACGGGUAGCUGGUCUGAGAGGAUGAUCAGCCACACUGGGACUGAGACACGGCCCAGACUCCUACGGGAGGCAGCAGUAGGGAAUAUUGCACAAUGGGCGAAAGCCUGAUGCAGCAACGCCGCGUGCGGGAAGAAGGCCCUAGGGUUGUAAACCGCUUUCAGCAGGGAAGAAAAUGACGGUACCUGCAGAAGAAGGUGCGGCCAACUACGUGCCAGCAGCCGCGGUGACACGUAGGCACCAAGCGUUGUCCGGAUUUAUUGGGCGUAAAGAGCUCGUAGGCGGUUCAGUAAGUCGGGUGUGAAAACUCUGGGCUCAACCCAGAGGCGCCACUCGAUACUGCUGUGACUCGAGUGCGGUAGGGGAGCGGGGAAUUCCUAGUGUAGCGGUGAAAUGCGCAGAUAUUAGGAGGAACACCAGUGGCGAAGGCGCCGCUCUGGGCCGUAACUGACGCUGAGGAGCGAAAGCGUGGGUAGCAAACAGGAUUAGAUACCCUGGUAGUCCACGCCGUAAACGUUGGGCACUAGGUGUGGGUCUCAACCAACGAGAUCUGCGCCGUCGCUAACGCAUUAAGUGCCCCGCCUGGGGAGUACGG